UAUGUGAUCGUCUCUCGCAUAUCAAUAAGCGGAGGAAAAGAAACUAACAAGGAUUCCCCUAGUAACGGCGAGUGAAGCGGGAAGAGCUCAAAUUUGAAAUCUUAAAGGGUUUCCCUUUACGAAUUGUAGUUUAAAGAAGUGUUUUCUGUUGAGGUUUUGGUAAAAGUUCUUUGGAAUAGGACAUCAUAGAGGGUGAGAAUCCCGUAUUUGACCUUUACUUUCAACUUUGUGAUACACUUUCAAAGAGUCGGAUUGUUUGGGAAUGCAGUCCAAAAUGGGUGGUAAAUUUCAUCUAAAGCUAAAUAUUGGCGAGAGACCGAUAGCGAACAAGUACCGUGAGGGAAAGAUGAAAAGAACUUUGAAAAGAGAGUUAAACAGUACGUGAAAUUGUCAAAAGGGAAGCGUUUGACACCAGUGUUGUUUUUCUGAAAAUCGAUUAAAGAACUGUUUAUGCUAAGUUGUUUAGACUUUAUCAGCUAACUGUUUAGUUUUGAGCUUUUCUUUAAUGCACCUUUCAGUUAACAAGUCAACAUCAAUUUCUUUUGCUGUAAAAAAGCUUGAGGAAGGUGGCUUGAGAUUCGUCUUAAGUGUUUAUAGCCUCUUGCCUAUGCAGUCGGAGAGAUUGAGGUCUGCAGCGUAGAUCCUUCGGGGCUAAAUGCAUUUGUGCUAAGUUAUAGCAUUUUAUAGACAACUUGUUGACUAUGAUUUGUCUUGUAGCUUACUCGCUUACGUUAUUUUACCUACGCUUAGGAUGUUGAAGAUAUGCGCGACACG
rnacentral:rRNA from 1 species